rnacentral:rRNA from 1 species
GAUGAACGCUGGCGGCGUGCCUAAUACAUGCAAGUCGAGCGAACAGACGAGGAGCUUGCUCCUCUGACGUUAGCGGCGGACGGGUGAGUAACACGUGGAUAACCUACCUAUAAGACUGGGAUAACUUCGGGAAACCGGAGCUAAUACCGGAUAACAUGUUGAACCGCAUGGUUCAACAGUGAAAGACGGUCUUGCUGUCACUUAUAGAUGGAUCCGCGCCGCAUUGCUAGUUGGUAAGGUAACGGCUUACCAAGGCAACGAUGCGUAGCCGACCUGAGAGGGUGAUCGGCCACACUGGAACUGAGACACGGUCCAGACUCCUACGGGAGGCAGCAGUAGGGAAUCUUCCGCAAUGGGCGAAAGCCUGACGGAGCAACGCCGCGUGAGUGAAGAAGGUCUUCGGAUCGUAAAACUCUGUUAUUAGGGAAGAACAAAUGUGUAAGUAACUAUGCACGUCUUGACGGUACCUAAUCAGAAAGCCACGGCUAACUACGUG